rnacentral:rRNA from 1 species
GUACACUCCUACGGGAGGCAGCAGUGGGGAAUUUUGGACAAUGGGCGAAAGCCUGAUCCAGCAAUGCCGCGUGAGUGAAGAAGGCCUUCGGGUUGUAAAGCUCUUUUGUCAGGGAAGAAACGGUGAGAGCUAAUAUCUCUUGCUAAUGACGGUACCUGAAGAAUAAGCACCGGCUAACUACGUGCCAGCAGCCGCGGUAAUACGUAGGGUGCAAGCGUUAAUCGGAAUUACUGGGCGUAAAGCGUGCGCAGGCGGUUUUGUAAGUCUGAUGUGAAAUCCCCGGGCUCAACCUGGGAAUUGCAUUGGAGACUGCAAGGCUAGAAUCUGGCAGAGGGGGGUAGAAUUCCACGUGUAGCAGUGAAAUGCGUAGAUAUGUGGAGGAACACCGAUGGCGAAGGCAGCCCCCUGGGUCAAGAUUGACGCUCAUGCACGAAAGCGUGGGGAGCAAACAGGAUUAGAAACCCGUGUAGUCCCAUGA